rnacentral:rRNA from 1 species
ACAAUCCUAGAGAUAGGACGUUCCCUUCGGGGACAGGAUGACAGGUGGUGCAUGGUUGUCGUCAGCUCGUGUCGUGAGAUGUUGGGUUAAGUCCCGCAACGAGCGCAACCCUUGAUCUUAGUUGCCAGCAUUUAGUUGGGCACUCUAAGGUGACUGCCGGUGACAAACCGGAGGAAGGUGGGGAUGACGUCAAAUCAUCAUGCCCCUUAUGACCUGGGCUACACACGUGCUACAAUGGAUGGUACAAAGGGCAGCAAAACCGCGAGGUCGAGCCAAUCCCAUAAAACCAUUCUCAGUUCGGAUUGUAGGCUGCAACUCGCCUACAUGAAGCUGGAAUCGCUAGUAAUCGCGGAUCAGCAUGCCGCGGUGAAUACGUUCCCGGGCCUUGUACACACCGCCCGUCACACCACGAGAGUUUGUAACACCCGAAGUCGGUGGGGUAACCCUUCUGGGAGCCAGCCGCCUAAGGUGGGAUAGAUGAUUGGGGUGAAGUCGUAACAAGGUAAGCGUAGCGAG